UACGUAGGGGGCAAGCGUUGUCCGGAUUUAUUGGGCGUAAAGAGCGUGUAGGCGGCCAGACAAGUCUGCUGUGAAAACUCGAGGCUCAACCUCGAGACGCCGAUGGAAACCGUUUGGCUAGAGUCCGGAAGAGGAGAGUGGAAUUCCUGGUGUAGCGGUGAAAUGCGCAGAUAUCAGGAAGAACACCCGUGGCUAAGGCGGCUCUCUAGUACGGUACUGACGCUGAGACGCGAAAGCGUGGGGAGCGAACAGG
rnacentral:rRNA from 1 species